AGUAACGCGUGAGGAACCUGCCUCAAAGAAGGGGGACAACAGUUGGAAACGACUGCUAAUACCGCAUAAGCCCACGGCUCGGCAUCGAGCAGAGGGAAAAGGAGCAAUCCGCUUUGAGAUGGAUCCGCGUCUGAUUAGCCAGUUGGCGGGGUAACGGCCCACCAAAGCGACGAUCAGUAGCCGACCUGAGAGGGUGACCGGCCACAUUGGGACUGAGACACGGCCCAA
rnacentral:rRNA from 1 species